UUAAAAAGCUCGUAGUUGGAUUUCUGUCGAGGAUGGCCGGUCCGCACUUUGUGCGUGCAUCUGGUUCAGCCUUGGCAUCCUCCUGGGGAACGUAUCUGCGCUUAAUUGCGUGGUGCGGUAUCCAGGACUUUUACUUUGAGGAAAUUAGAGUGUUCACGGCAGGCAAACGCCUUGAAUACAUUAGCAUGGAAUAAUAAUAUAGGACCUUGGUCCCAUUUUGUUGGUUUCUGGAACUGAGGUAAUGAUUAAUAGGGAUAAUUGGGGGCAUUCGUAUUAACGUGUCAGAGGUGGAAUUCUUGGAUUACGUUACGACGAACUACUGCGAGAGCAUUUGCCAAGGAUGUUUUCAUUGAUCAAGAACGAAAGUUCGGGGAUCGAAGAUGAUUAGAUACCAUCGUAGUCCGAACCAUAAACUAUGCCAACUAGAGAUGGGCGAUCGUUAUUUUAUUGACUUCGUCCGCACCUUAUGAGAAAUCAAAGUCUUUGGGUUCCGGGGGGAGUAUGGUCGCAAGGCUGAAACUUAAAGGAAUUGACGGAAGGGCACCACCAGGAGUGGAGCCUGCGGCUUAAUUUGACUCAACACGGGGAAACUCACCAGGUCCAGACAUAGUAAGGAUUGACAGAUUGAUAGCUCUUUCUUGAUUCUAUGGGUUGGUGGUGCAUGG
rnacentral:rRNA from 1 species